rnacentral:lncRNA from 1 species
AAUUAGGUGUAUGCCAUAGACUUUCAGCCCCCAAGGAGUUAUGCUUACCCCUUCAAUCCCCAAUGGGUCUGCUCCUCGACAAAUCAUUGUUCCCACCUAGACCCUUUUCCAUCUUAUCCCCAGGGAGUCGGGUCACUUUCCACAAACCUCUUCCCCGUGGAGUCUUUCUUACCAAGCGACCCACAUAAUGGUCUAGAUUCCCGACCCUAAACUGCAUGGUCCAAACUAUAUGACGUUAAACUGUAGAAGAGGUCUAUUUGCACGACCUUAAACUGCAUGGUCCUAGCUGCAUGACUUUAAACUGUAUAGACACGGUCUAAGCUAUAUGACCUUAAAACUGUAGUACACGUCCUGACAGCAUGAUGUUAAACUGAUUUGCAUAGGUUCCAGAAGCAGGACUCUAAAUAAACCUCCACACAUAUCCGCACACACCUUUUGCGAGUACCACCCUCAUAACUCCCCAGUAAAUCCAUUUUCCUUCAUCACCAGUCAUCAUUUCCCUAAUGAGUCUUACCCAUGCUCACAAAAUAA